rnacentral:rRNA from 1 species
UACAGAGGUCCCGAGCGUUGUUCGGAUUCACUGGGCGUAAAGGGUGCGUAGGUGGCUGGGAAAGUUUGAUGUGAAAGCUCAGGGCUUAACCCUGAAAUGGCAUUGAAUACUACUUAGCUUGAGGUUUGGAGGGGGGACUGGAAUUCUUGGUGUAGCAGUGAAAUGCGUAGAUAUCAAGAGGAACACCAGUGGCGAAGGCGAGUCCCUGGACAACACCUGACACUGAGGCACGAAAGCUAGGGGAGCAAACGGG